UCCUACGGGAGGCAGCAGUGGGGAAUUUUCCGCAAUGGACGAAAGCCUGACGGAGCAAUACCGCGUGAGGGAAGACUGCCUAUGGGUUGUAAACCUCUUUUUUCAGGGAGGAAUCAAUGACGUGUACCUGAAGAAUAAGCAUCGGCUAACUCCGUGCCAGCAGCCGCGGUAAGACGGAGGAUGCAAGUGUUAUCCGGAAUCACUGGGCGUAAAGCGUCUGUAGGUGGUUUAAUAAGUCAACUGUUAAAUCUUGAGGCUCAACUUCAAAAUCGCAGUCGAAACUAUUAGACUAGAGUAUAGUAGAGGUAAAGGGAAUUUCCAGUGGAGCGGUGAAAUGCGUAGAUAUUGGAAAGAACACCGAUGGCGAAAGCACUUUACUGGGCUAUUACUAACACUCAGAGACGAAAGCUAGGGUAGCAAAUGGGAUUAGAUACCCCAGUAGUCCUAGCCGUAAACAAUGGAUACUAGAUGUUGAACAGAUCGACCUGUGCAGUAUCAAAGCUAACGCGUUAAGUAUCCCGCCUGGGAAGUAUGCUCGCAAGAGUGAAACUCAAAUGAAUUGACGGA
rnacentral:rRNA from 1 species